AGAGGGUGCAAGCGUUAAUCGGAAUUACUGGGCGUAAAGCGCACGUAGGUGGAAAGUUAAGUUGGAUGUGAAAUCCCUGGGCUCAACCUGGGAAGGUCAUUCAAAACUGGCUAUCUAGAGUACAGUAGAGGGAAGUGGAAUUUCCGGUGUAGCGGUGAAAUGCGUAGAUAUCGGAAGGAACACCAGUGGCGAAGGCGGCUUCCUGGACUGAUACUGACACUGAGGUGCGAAAGCGUGGGUAGCGAACAGGGAUUGGAUACCCUGGUAGUCCACGCCGUAAACGAUGAGAACUAGCCCGUUGGGUAAAUUAAUUACUUAGUGGCGCAGCAAACGCGAUAAGUUCUCCGCCUGGGGAGUACGGCCGCAAGGCUA
rnacentral:rRNA from 1 species